rnacentral:rRNA from 1 species
CCUACGGGAGGCAGCAGUGGGGGAUAUUGCACAAUGGGGGAAACCCUGAUGCAGCGACGCCGCGUGGGUGAAGAAGCGCCUCGGCGCGUAAAGCCCUGUCAGCAGGGAAGAAAAUGACGGUACCUGAAGAAGAAGCCCCGGCUAACUACGUGCCAGCCGCCGCGGUAAUACGUAGGGGGCAAGCGUUAUCCGGAUUUACUGGGUGUAAAGGGGGCGCAGACGGCGAUGCAAGCCAGGAGUGAAAGCCCGGGGCCCAACCCCGGGACUGCUUUUGGAACUGCGGGGCUAGAGUGCAGGAGGGGUAGGUGGAAUUCCUGGUGUAGCGGUGAAAUGCGUAGAUAUCAGGAGGAACACCAGUGGCGAAGGCGGCCUGCUGGACAGUAACUGACGUUGAGGCCCGAAAGCGUGGGGAGCAAACAGGAUUAGAUACCCCUGUAGUC